AAUUUCAAUAUAAUUUAUCCUAACAUAACUAAUUUCAACAUAUCUACGUGGCCAACAAAGGACCCUAUCAACAAUACCCCGCACAUCACCGACAAUAACCAACAAACAACAACGAUGCCAAUAACAGUCAAACAACACAUCAAUCUUGGGACCGACGAACGGGCACAAACCCGUUGGGUCAUCACCUUUGAUCUCUUUUCUCUCUUUAUUUGAAUAAAGCAAGCCCGAGGAUAUUCAAAUUCAUAGAAAAGAUGGGGAAAAUCCAAAGAACUAUUGGAUUCAAGGUGUUUCACCUUUGAUUCGACGACCGCGGAGUUUAAUCCGAUAGGCUCAAGCUGGAUCGUCUCCAAUCCGUCACUUUUCCUUCAAGAUUGAGAAGAGGUGACCCUUUCCCUUCUUUUUUUCUUAUCACCAUCAAUCUUCGGAAAUUUGCCUGUUCAAGAAUCCAAAAAUUUGAAAUUUCAAAAGGGCUUCUCCAAUAAGCCAUUGCAACCUACAAUACCGCCUAUAAAAAGGGGUCUUUUCCACCUCUUUGGGGAAUAAGGUUAAGUGGUAAAGAAAUUGGGGAAUACUUGAAUUUUUUCACUCUUCGAUUAACUGAAUUCUCUAUUUUUCUUUUACUCUAUUUCGAUUUACUCAUGCCGCCCUCAUUGUUAUUUUUGUUCGAACUUGGAGUCGAAGUUAGUGGUGGAAUUGCUCGUCGGCUUGGCUUCCUGGUUCGCCGUCACGAAAAAGACCUGAGUACAAGUUACCUUCGCUGUGUUGAGUUCUUGCAGUGUUGAUCUUCCGGAGAUGGGCUGAGCUCUUGGAGUUUCGAGUCGCCCGUUUCCCUCUAUCCUUGUUCAAUCUUUUGUAUUCAAGACAGAAUUAUUGACUAUUCUAGACUUUUGGGUUGUAUUUUCUAUUAUCAAACUUAGAUGCUCUUGUACUGAUAUUACCAGGUCGUGGAAUUGGUAUUUGUAUUUUGAUUGUCUUCUUUUAGUGGAACACUGUUGAUUAUAA